UACGUAGGGUGCAAGCGUUAAUCGGAAUUACUGGGCGUAAAGCGUGCGCAGGCGGCUCUGUAAGUCAGAUGUGAAAUCCCCGAGCUCAACUUGGGAACUGCGUUUGAAACUACAGGGCUAGAAUAUGUCAGAGGGGGGUAGAAUUCCACGUGUAGCAGUGAAAUGCGUAGAGAUGUGGAGGAAUACCAAUGGCGAAGGCAGCCCCCUGGGAUAAUAUUGACGCUCAUGCACGAAAGCGUGGGGAGCGAACAGG
rnacentral:rRNA from 1 species